AGCUUAUGAAUUUUAUGGUACCUUAUCUCAUUGCAUGCUAUAUAUACGCCUUUUUGUUUCAUUUAGAAGUCUCAGAGGCAACAAUUUUUUUGUUCAACAUGCAUUUUAGUGGUGAAAUGACACCUUCAUAUUGAAAAUCUAUGAAAAUAUAGCAGACUAUUUAAUUUCCUGUUUAUGGGGAUUGAAAAGGGUGUUGUUCUUCAGGAAGCUAGGGUUUUCAAUGAUCCUCAAUUGGAUGCAAGAAGAUGCUCAUAGAUAUUGUUAUUUGGAGUUCAAGGGGAAUAAUGGGCGAACACUACAAGAAAAUUGCUUGAUAGAACAAUGGGUGGUUCAUAUAGAGGUUUAAUGACUUUGACGAGCAACAGCCAACAAGUAUCGUUGCGUUGUUAGUACCAUUUGCUCUUUCUUUUUAGGAGGUAUGGUCUAUCAAUCAAUUAGAAUAAAGGACAGGCUGAGCUCUUGAAAUAAAUGACAACAAACGAGGUACUCCAAAACUUCUUGUCAUUUUUGAAGUGACAAAGUAUGACUAUCAAUAACUCUGUCAGAGGAAAUAACGAUUUCACAUGUGUUUGUGAUGAGUUAGAAAAUAUGCAAAUAUUUUCAAUGAUACGAGUAUUAUGUCUAUAAAUAAUAUAUAUAUUUUUAUAACACAUCAGUUAUUACUAAAACGUAUCUAGCGGUCUUUCUUUUGUAGUUUGUCAAUUCCGUCCAUAUACAUGAAAAUGUCAUAUUCUACCAUGUCAAUACAUAAUUGAUCAAGUCGCA